rnacentral:lncRNA from 1 species
AUGGGGCGGCGGCCGAGCGGCGGGCCCCGCCCCGCCCCGCCCGCAGCUCCCGGGAGCCUCGCUCCAGCUGGGCGGGACCGACGGACAGACCGGCCGACGCGGGCCGCCCGGCUCUCCUCGCCGCCGCGGCGGCAGGCGCGGGGCCGCGCCGCGAGGCCUGAUCCCUGCAGCGCUGGCGGACGGCGUCGCAGAGCGGAGCGAGCCGGAUGCGCCCGGACUCCUGCAGGUGAGAGUGAUUUUCCAGUGAUUGCUUUGGCCUGUACAACCAGAGAACAGGAUUCUUCCCUUCUUUUUGGCCACCAAAUGCCUAUGUGCACCACACAUUCCAGUGUGCUGAGAAGGGCAGAGCGUCUUGGAUGAUGAUGGACGUCCCACCGGGCAGGAUGAAGGCAGAGCGUGUGGCAUCUCCACCUCAAGGGUAAGAGUUGCCAUUCUAUCUUAUUUUCUCAAGCACCAUUAUUUAUCAAAGCAGGAUGAGAAUGAGCCUUCCAGUGUAGUGAGAAAGAUGAAAGUUAGACUCUUCUGAUGGAUGGUCAAAUCGAUUGGGCAGUUGGGACAGACGACUAUGGGAAGAAAAGUGUUGGUCUUGAAGGAUUAGAUUGGAGUUACAUUAAGGGACACCACUGGACAUCUUUAGAAAAUGCAGUGUUUCACGUUUCCUCCCUCUCCCUUUUUGACAUUUAUAGUUCAGACUUGAGAGAAUGACACUACUGCUAUUGUAACUAGAUUCCAUUUGUGUUCAUGUUAGCCAGUCUGGCUUAAAAUGUAUGUUGUGGACUGGAAUUGGUCAGAGUUUGGCUUAGGUCACAGACUGGGUAGCUCAUCAGAUGUACCUGGCCCAGAGGCACAUCUUUGUUUGAGCCACAUAAUGCUUAAAACAUGUUGGAUCAAUUCUAACUAAACUUGAGAUAUUGCACAUAAGGAUCAGGGUUUCCAGGUUCUCCUGGGAAGACCGAAUGAUACGUCUAUACUGGGCCUCUGUUCCUAAAAAGGAUUCCAGUGCUGAGUAGCCUCUGCCUCUUAGAUAAGUGGGGACAGUUCACCACCAUCCCCAGCCAUCUCAUUUGUUUGACUUGUUUGGUCACCAGAGGUAUUUAAUUUUGCCAUGCCUGUUCUAGAUCAUUCUGUUAGCUCUUUGACAAAAGUAGUAAUAGCUUUUGUUAAUUCCUCCAGAUAAAAGCAAGUAUCUUUUACUAGAUUAUGGGCAGCACUUAGCAUAAGGGGCUAUAGCUGUAAGAGGAUGAUACAUGGUUCCUUCCACAGCGGAGCUUGGAGUCUAGACUGAGCAACAGUCAGACUUGUGGGGAAUAAGGAGAAUUGUAGAUAACAUCAUAACGCCUUGUGAUAUGUGCUAAAAUCAAGGUGUACACAAAUGAGCUAUGGGAGAGGGUGAAUACAGUGGGGAGGUAGAGAAGGGAGAACCAUUAAUUUGGCCUGGGCCUAAAUUCUCCAAAACUCCCUCCCCUGGGCAACAGAGCUUUCCCAUGACAGACCUCUGUAUGUGCAUGAUUCCAAGCAACCUGGCUCAGUUGGAGAUGUGAUGGAGUAUUUGCAGCAGGGCUAGGGGCCCCUCUUGUGGCAAAGUCCUGGUUUUUCCUGUUUCUGUUUGAAAAGCUAUCAUUUAUGAUUCUUUGCUUUUUACAAAAAGGACAGCUUUCUGGCUGCUUGGCUCACUAAAUCACUCAGCCUUCUGAGCAGCUCUCUGCUUGGCGAUGAGCUGUGUGAAUUACAGAGAUCCCUGGAGUUUCCAGAGAGUAGCAGUCACACUAAAUACAGAUCCAGAGGGAGUGAGUACAACUUUAAUGUGAUUGUACCAGUUGGUGGGAGUAAGAGAAGGGAAGGGAAUAGAGGAAGGAAGUGGGGGAAGGUAGAAAUACCGUUAUAUCAGUCUUUUAUUUUUGGAAUACAGUUUUACAUGUGUCUCGUGCUUUAUGGUUUCAAAAGACUUUUACAUUUGUUAUUUUAUCCUCAAGGUGGGUUUAUAAUCUCCUAUAGAUCAAGGCUUCACCUGCCCAAGGUCAUGCACAUAAGAAGAGGGAGCUCAGACACAAGUUUUCAGAAUCCUAGUCUUUCCCUCUUUUUUGCUAGUUGCUGCUGAUAAUUCAGCAUGAAUAAGAGGACACAGUUUUUGUUUUGUUAAGUUCAACAUUUAAACGUUGCAUUCAGUUUAUGAAUGCUCUGGAAUAGAGCACCCUGGGACCCUGCAAACUUUCUGGACCUGUGUCAUUGGUGUGCUGUCUGACUGUGGCCCAUGAUGUCAGAACAUGUCAAGUGCAGAACAGACCUGGCAGCGAGUUUUCUUGCCUGCCUGUUUGGCCAGUGGGGCUUACGCUUUACAGAAAGCCUUCUCAGUGGACUGGGCUGCACCACUUGGAAAGCUACUGGAGGUAAUGGCUCCAUGUAGGAGCCUCGCCAUGCUCAGACAAUGCUGUAAGAGAAGACUUUUACCUGGGAGGCCCCUGGUAGGAGGGUGGUAAGGAGGAGACAUGGGUAUAGAUUGAGUUUAGGUUUCUAAUUCUGUUUACAUUUGCUUGGUUUUCCCAUUUUGUAUAUCCCCACAUGGCAUGACCAGAAACUGAAUUUAGCAUGGCCUACUCUUUAAAAAAAUUGAAAUGAGCUUUCUUUUUAAAUUUAAUAGAACAAAAGAAAACUCUUAGAAUAAUGUUCCAAAAAGAAGGCAGUGUUAAAUACUGAAAAUGGUGUAUUUUUUUCUUUGAUGUAAAAGGAUUAAUAUAGAUAUUUGGACAUGUACAAAACAAGAAGGAAAAACAAAUCUGGGUUUUUAUUUACUUUUAUGAAAUUGAUACCAAAAAGCAGUUCUGUCCAGUAAGAAAAAUUGGCUUGUAUUAUAAUACUUUCAUUACUUUUCUGAGCAAAGCAGGUGCAUUAUCAGAGACAGUCAUGAGCUUGUGUGUAUGUGUAUGAGUCAGCCUUGAAAAGACACAAUUUUGAGAAUAUUUUCUUAGGUGAGUUUGAGAGCAUGAAGCAACAAGAGCAGGAAGUGGACCAAGAGGAGGCAAAUAAGAGGUUAAUGGCUUUGAAAAAGCUUUACAGGGUGCCAGUUGGAAGCAACUGAAUCAAUGGUAGUUUUUAUUUUAAGCUGCCAGUGAGUAUCUUGGAUUUUUGACAUAUUUUUCUUCUUUUCAAUCUUAUAAACACCAAGAGGGACAAAGUGGUCAAAUACUGUAUAUAUAGUGUUCUCACCAUGAGUGAUUUGGGUUGAUAGUAGGGAGGAGAAUCAAUACAGUGAAGCUAAGUUUAGCUUUAAGAAGAGAAUGAAAAUAGCAGUUGAGUCUUCUACUUCGUGGCCAAUGCCACUGUACCCUCAGAUGCGUCUGAUUUGAGACCCCGUGUGACUUCAGCGUGUGAAUGUCAAUGUCCUUACAGUAUGGCUGACGUAAUAUGCAAAUGAGAACAUCAGCCAGUCUCUACCUCCUCCCACUUAAAAAAAAAUCUUCAAAUACUCAUAUUUGAGGCAUCGUGAAAAGAAUCUGCCCAAUAAAAGCUGGACAACGUUGAGCAAAUUCUGAGCCUCAGAUGUCCCCAUUUGCAACACGGGAGUCUAAGGUCUACGACUUAGGGCUGUUAGAGAAUUAAAGAAAAUGAUUCAUUCAUUCAGUUACAUGUACUCGUUGCCUGCUAGUGUCUAUGUACUGCACCAGUUGUUGAGAAUAAAAGAGUGAAUAAUAGUGUAUAUGAAAGCAGUUUCCACAGUGCAUAGCCUGAAAAAAGAUGCUUAGUACAUUUUUCUUAAAACAUUUUUAGUGGAGAAUUUUAACAUGUACAAAAAUAAAAUAAUAUGUUAAACUCCUGUGUGCCUACCUGUCACCCGCUGCAACAGUGAUUAACUCAUAGCCAUCUUGUAUGAUCAGUGCUCCUGCCUUUCCAUGUAUUAUUAUGAAAUCAAUCCCCAAUGUUGUGUAAUUUUAUCAAUAAAUAUUUUAGUAUGUAUUUCCAAAAGAUAAGGGUUUCCUUUUAAGAACAUAAUUAUAUUACUAUUGGGACACUAAAAAAUUAACAAUAACUUUUUUAUAAUAUCAAGUAUCUAGUUGAUUUUUGUACUAGUUCAGUCUCACAUUGCUAUAAAGCACUAAGUGAGACUGGGUAAUUUAUAAGGGAAAGAGGUUUAAUUGAUUAAGAGUUCUGAAUGGCUGGGAAAGCCUCAGGAAACUUAAAAUCAUGGCGGAAGGCGAAGGGGAAGCAAGCACAUCUUACCAUGGUGAAGCAGGAGAGCGAGAGAGAGUGAAGUGGGAGAUGCUACACAUUUUCAAACAACCAGAUCUUGUGAGAACUCACUAACAAUCAUGAAAAAAACAAGGGGAAAUCUGCCCCCAUGAUUCAGUCACCUCCCACCAGGCCCCUCCCCUGACACUUGGGGAUUACAAUUUGACAUGAGAUUUGGGUGGGGACACAGAGCCAGACCAUAUCAGUUUUCAAGAGUCCCUGAUUUUCAUGUGUGUGUGUGUAUAUAUAUAUAUGAAAAAAAUAAAUAUACGUAUGUAUAUAUAUUCAACAUUUGGCUUGUUAGAAUUAGGAUCUAUACAAAGUCUGUAUAUUGGCUUUGUAUGCCUCUUAUUUGAUCUGUGUCAUUUGUCCUGUAAGGUUUCCCAGUCUUGAUUUUGCUGAUUGCACCCCUUUGGUAUUAUUGAACAUAUUCCUCUAAAAUAUUUAUUUUGUUUCAGUAAAAUCUAGUUAUUUUGUUACAUUAGGCUUGAUUGGUGGGUUCAGAUAUUGUAACUCUGAUCUCUGUUAUGAUUCCCCGUCAGCUUUUUAUCUGGAUUUUAUCAGCCAUUGAUGAUCAUUGCCUAGAUCUAUUAUUUUAUUAUGAGUUGCAAAAUGGCAAGAUUUUAAUUCUAUUAUUUCUUUUUUUACUUAUUAUCUAGAAUCCCUAUUUAUUUAUUCACUUAUUUUUAUCAUAAUUUAAAAAAUAAUAAAUAGAAAUGGAGUCUCAGUGUGUUGCCAAGGCUGGUCUCAAACUCCUGGGCUCAAGUGAUCCUCCUGCCUUGGCCACCCAAAGUGCUGGGAUGGAAUCCCUUUUUAAAUGACAGUAUUAUUGAGAUAUGCUUUGAAUACAGCAAAAAUCUACCUUUUAAAAAAUGUGUUUAAUGCAGUGGUUCUUGGUAUAUUCAUGACUGUACAACUUUCCAAUUCCAAGACAUAUUUAUCACCCCCAAACGAAACCCAAAUCCAUUAAUAGUACUCAUCUUCCCUACCCUCAGCCCCCAGCAACCACUAACCUAUUUUCUGUUUCUACAGUUUUGACUAUUCUGGAU